GCUGCGAAGGAAGGGGAGGUGGAGGAGGAGGGGAAAGAGGAGAAAGGGAAGAAGAAAGACGCUGCAAAGGGGGGCUUUUUCAGUAAUUUUAUGAGCGCCACGAAGGCCUCUCUCACCCGGGCUACGAGUGUGGUGUCUAAAGGCCCCGCGGACGCGCCCCAGCCCGGCGAGGAUACGAGGGCCUCCCAGGGGGCCCCGGG